UACGAAGGGGGCUAGCGUUGUUCGGAAUCACUGGGCGUAAAGGGCGCGUAGGCGGCUUUAUAAGUCGGGGGUGAAAGCCUGUGGCUCAACCACAGAAUUGCCUUCGAUACUGUAGAGCUUGAGACCGGAAGAGGUAAGUGGAACUGCGAGUGUAGAGGUGAAAUUCGUAGAUAUUCGCAAGAACACCAGUGGCGAAGGCGGCUUACUGGUCCGGUUCUGACGCUGAGGCGGCGAAAAGCGUGGGGGAGCAAACAGG
rnacentral:rRNA from 1 species